GCUGGCGGCGUGCCUAAUACAUGCAAGUCGAGCGAACAGAUAAGGAGCUUGCUCCUUUGACGUUAGCGGCGGACGGGUGAGUAACACGUGGGUAACCUACCUAUAAGACUGGAAUAACUCCGGGAAACCGGGGCUAAUGCCGGAUAACAUUUAGAACCGCAUGGUUCUAAAGUGAAAGAUGGUUUUGCUAUCACUUAUAGAUGGACCCGCGCCGUAUUAGCUAGUUGGUAAGGUAACGGCUUACCAAGGCAACGAUACGUAGCCGACCUGAGAGGGUGAUCGGCCACACUGGAACUGAGACACGGUCCAGACUCCUACGGGAGGCAGCAGUAGGGAAUCUUCCGCAAUGGGCGAAAGCCUGACGGAGCAACGCCGCGUGAGUGAUGAAGGUCUUCGGAUCGUAAAACUCUGUUAUUAGGGAAGAACAAAUGUGUAAGUAACUAUGCACGUCUUGACGGUACCUAAUCAGAAAGCCACGGCUAACUACGUGCCAGCAGCCGCGGUAAUACGUAGGUGGCAAGCGUUAUCCGGAAUUAUUGGGCGUAAAGCGCGCGUAGGCGGUUUCUUAAGUCUGAUGUGAAAGCCCACGGCUCAACCGUGGAGGGUCAUUGGAAACUGGGAAACUUGAGUGCAGAAGAGGAAAGUGGAAUUCCAUGUGUAGCGGUGAAAUGCGCAGAGAUAUGGAGGAACACCAGUGGCGAAGGCGACUUUCUGGUCUGUAACUGACGCUGAUGUGCGAAAGCGUGGGGAUCAAACAGGAUUAGAUACCCUGGUAGUCCACGCCGUAAACGAUGAGUGCUAAGUGUUAGGGGGUUUCCGCCCCUUAGUGCUGCAGCUAACGCAUUAAGCACUCCGCCUGGGGGAGUACGAC
rnacentral:rRNA from 1 species